ensembl:lncRNA
CCAGCACACAUGCCUGGUUGUGCAUAAAGGGAAAGUUGUUUUCUCAGGACUCACAUCUGCGCUGCAGACAGUUGCACAAUUAGCUAAUUACCCAAAACCCCUCGUUUUGCAUCCCAUAGUGUCAGAAAAACCCUUCAGCUGCAGGAUAAUUCACAGUUUCAGAGUGAGGAGGGCCAUUAAAGGAACACAGACAGGAGACGUGGCAGAUAUCAUCAACAUCCGAGUGCUGUUGUUGGCCUCUAAAGGGAACAAAGCCAAAGCCCCAUACUGCCUCUGGCCAAAAUCAACUCCCAUUCCUGAAGUACAACGACCUUCACAGACAGUCACACUUGAGCCCUUGUGGAAUUGCUGAGACUAUCCUGAAUAUUUAAGAUUAUUAAAGUAUAAGUACAGCACAAAUAAACACCAUAAAUAUGCAUGAUUGCAUAGUAUGACUUGGCAUAGACUGCAC